CCGCGGCCGGCCGCGGCCCGCCACGUCCCGCACGUAGAGCCCGGGCAGCGGCAUAGAGCGGCAGGUUGGCGCCGGGAGCCCCGGCUCCUCCGGCGGGGCUCGGUAUGAGGCUGGCAAGGCUGCUGCGGGGCGGCACGAGCGUCAGGCCGCUCUGUGCCGUCCCCUGCGCCAGCCGUAGUCUGGCCUCGGACUCGGCCUCGGGCUCCGGGCCGGCGUCGGAGAGCGGCGUUCCGGGCCAGGUGGACUUCUAUGCGCGCUUCUCGCCGUCGCCACUCUCCAUGAAGCAGUUCCUGGACUUCGGGUCAGUAAAUGCUUGUGAAAAGACCUCGUUCAUGUUUCUUCGACAAGAGUUGCCUGUUAGAUUGGCAAAUAUAAUGAAAGAAAUAAGCCUCCUUCCCGAUAAUCUUCUCAGGACCCCAUCCGUACAGCUGGUACAAAGUUGGUAUAUCCAAAGCCUUCAGGAGCUACUUGACUUUAAGGACAAGAGUGCUGAGGAUGCUAAAACUAUUUAUGAAUUCACAGACACAGUGAUAAGGAUCAGAAACCGGCACAAUGAUGUCAUCCCCACCAUGGCCCAGGGUGUGACUGAAUACAAGGAGAGCUUCGGGGUGGAUCCUGUCACCAGCCAAAAUGUUCAGUACUUUUUGGAUCGGUUCUACAUGAGUCGCAUCUCAAUUAGAAUGCUACUCAACCAGCACUCUUUAUUGUUUGGUGGAAAAGGAAGUCCAUCUCAUCGAAAACACAUUGGAAGCAUAAAUCCAAACUGCGAUGUAGUCGAGGUUAUUAAAGAUGGCUAUGAGAAUGCGAGACGGCUUUGUGAUUUGUAUUACGUUAACUCUCCUGAACUAGAACUUGAAGAACUAAAUGCGAAAUCACCAGGACAGCCAAUACAAGUGGUUUAUGUUCCGUCCCAUCUCUAUCACAUGGUGUUUGAACUGUUCAAGAAUGCAAUGAGGGCCACCAUGGAGCACCAUGCAGACAAAGGCGUUUAUCCCCCGAUUCAAGUUCACGUCACACUGGGGGAGGAGGAUUUGACUGUGAAGAUGAGUGACCGGGGAGGUGGUGUUCCGCUGAGGAAGAUCGACAGACUCUUCAACUACAUGUACUCAACUGCACCCCGGCCUCGUGUUGAGACGUCCCGUGCGGUGCCCCUGGCUGGAUUUGGUUACGGAUUGCCCAUAUCACGCCUCUAUGCACAGUACUUCCAGGGGGACCUAAAGCUGUAUUCCUUAGAGGGCUACGGGACGGAUGCUGUCAUCUAUAUUAAGGCUCUGUCAACGGAGUCCAUCGAAAGACUCCCUGUGUAUAAUAAAGCUGCCUGGAAGCAUUACAGAACCAACCACGAGGCUGACGACUGGUGUGUACCCAGCAGAGAGCCGAAAGACAUGACGACGUUCCGAAGCUCGUAACUGCACGUGGGACGCCCGGCAAAGCCAGAUGUGGUUUUUGCCAAACUUGGAAGAGAGAUGUAUUUGGAACCACAUUGUACCAAAUAUGUCAUGUGUGAUUUUUCACAAUCAGUGUUUGCUAAAGCUCCUAAAGGAUCAAUUAUAGCAACUUUAUUCUGAUAUGUUUUGUUAAUUGGGCGUGUUUUGUUUUUGUUUUUUUUUUUUGAACGCACAUAAUUUUGGUCAGCUUCCCUUGGUGUGGUAUGGAGUGUGAAGUCCCUGGUUUCUGUAGGAAGCUCAGUGUUUCUUCCAGGUUUUCCUUUAUGUCCGCUAGAAGCGCCUGAAGAACGUGGAGGAGCUGGUGAGCGGCCUCUCUGCUUUUGGAGUUCUGUCAUCGGUGAGUGGUGACACCUAAUCAGACGGUCGUCUUACCUCCCACGAAGCAGAACACAGCAGUCCGUUAGAAGCCACACAGAUCGUCCGAGUGCUGAAAUUAAUUGAUCAUGGCGUCCUUUUAUUGCAGUGGAUCGUAACGACUGGCUCCCCACGGAGCAAAGCCCAGAGCAUGAGUAGCGAGCUUCUAGUCAACGCAAGGGACUUUCUUUACAAACAGAGUCUCACUGGGUAGCCCCAGCUGCCUUGAGUUUACAUCGCCCUUGGCGUCCUGAGAGCUGGGAAGGGUGUACCACCACAUCUGGCUUAGAAGAGAAAUGUCAUCCCCAAAGCCAGCCACGUGCCAGCAGAGAAUAAACUGGGAGGCACCAAGUGGCCAGACCGAGCCGGCUGACUGUUGAGAUUUUCUGAUUAUCUGAGCUUUUGACGAGAGUGAGUUUCUCUGGGUCUGACCCAGGCACCCAGAGACUGAAGGUCAGAGAUGAGGUGAGGCUCAUGGCUGACUAGCUGGCUGGAAGUACACUCGGGAGUGAAUCGUGACUGCUGUUGCCAGAGUGACAGACUGGAUUGGGAAGCGUGGGUGCCCCAUUUUCAGGUCAGGUUGCUACACUUCCAGGGGACAUAAUCUGACUCUCAGGCCUGGUGCAGUCUAAAGUGUUAGCAGCUGGGGGAUGAUGGUCACCACAAGAGGUCAGGUGACGAAGGCUCAGCCACCUUGGUUUUAAGUGGCGACUAAGGACAUAUACUUUUCUAAACUAUCCAGGUUUUUUUAAUCAAAGAAAAGUCCGUUUAUAUUGAUUACAGAAUCCCUUUGCAGCUAGCUGUGUGGUGAUUGAAAGUCUGCAACCAGUGCUUUGGUGUACUGAUGGUAUUUGUGUCGAAACAGAACUAUGGAGCAGGUACGACAGCUCGGUUCUCUCUCGGUGACCCAAAGUCACACAGAAUUGGAGCCACAGCCUGAGCUAUCUCUGCUGAUCACCAUCCACUGUCUGGAAUAUUCUUACCUCUCUCUUAAGCGAUGGAGAACUCCUUGGGAAACACGCUUCGCCACAUACCUGGAGGGAUCUGGGGGUUUGGUUUGGAAAACGUCGUGAGUUGAAACAUGCCACUCUUGACAGGAUUUACCCAAUUAUCACUCUGUGCCCCACAAAUAUAUAUACAUAUAUAAUACAAAAGCCAAGUCAUGCAACAUGGCACAGAAGAGGAUUUUGAUACCAAAUGAUAGGGACGUGUAGUCUGAGCUUGCUCCAGGGUGGCCAGGCCAGAAUCCUUAUGUGAGAGGUGAGGAGCCUGGAACUUGUGUCCUAUUGGCCCAGGGCUUUUUAACUAAUACUACCAAAUGUUGGAAAAUACACACCUUAUCCCUGCUGUUCCUAAUCGAGGACUUUGUAAGAAAUAAUAGACUCUGUUCACGAGUGACAUUUAUUCAGUGUAUCGCACUUACUAGCUUUAAAUUACAUUUUACUGCAAUGGUGAAAUAUUUUGGAAUCUUUUGUACAACCGUCAAUAAACGUACUAUUUUUAAUUUGUGAAA